AAGACCUUGCGCUUUUGGAGCGGCCGAUGCCUGAUUAGCUUGUUGGUAAGGUAAAAGCUUACCAAGGCUUCGAUCAGUAGCUGGUCUGAGAGGACGGCCAGCCACACUGGGACUGAGACACGGCCCAGACUCCUACGGGAGGCAGCAGUGGGGAAUUUUGGACAAUGGGGGCAUCCCUGAUCCAGCCAUGCCGCGUGAGUGAAGAAGGCCUUCGGGUUGUAAAGCUCUUUCAGCCGGAACGAAACGGUUACGGUUAAUACCCGUGACUACUGACGGUACCGGAAGAAGAAGCACCGGCUAACUACGUGCCAGCAGCCGCGGUAAUACGUAGGGUGCGAGCGUUAAUCGGAAUUACUGGGCGUAAAGCGUGCGCAGGUGGUUUUGUAAGUCAGAUGUGAAAUCCCCGGGCUUAACCUGGGAACU
rnacentral:rRNA from 1 species